rnacentral:rRNA from 1 species
UAAACAUUGGUAGCACAAUACACACGCUGCCCGCCCGGGUACUACGAGCGUCAGCUUAAAACCCAAAGGACUUGGCGGUGCUUAAGAUCCCCCUAGAGGAGCCUGUUCUAGAACCGAUAAUCCCCGUUCAACCUCACCCUCCCUUGUUCUUUUCAGCCUAUAUACCGCCGUCGUCAGCUUACCCUGUGAAGGGUUAACAGUAAGCAAAAUUGGCAUUGCCCAAAACGUCAGGUCGAGGUGUAGCGUAUGAGAGGGGAAGAAAUGGGCUACAUUCCCUGAAACAGGGCAUACGGAUAGUAAAAUGAAAAUGUUACUUGAAGGUGGAUUUAGUAGUAAGUAGAGAGUAGAGAGCUUUACUGAAAUUGGCCCUAAAGCGCGUACACACCGCCCGUCACUCUCCCCAAGCUACAAAACUUAAAUUAAAUAAAAAACAUAAAAUGCAAAGGGGAGGCAAGUCGUAACAUGGUAAGGGUACCGGAAGGUGCCCUUGGAAUAAC